GCCGGGCAUGGUGGCUCAUGCCUGUAAUCCUAGCACUUUGGGAGGCUGAGGCAGGAGGAUCGCUUGAGCCCAGGAGUUUUUGGCUGCAGUGAGCUAUGAUCAUGCCGCUGCACUCCAGCCUGAGCAACAGAGAAAGACCCUGUCUCUC
rnacentral:SRP_RNA from 1 species